UCAACAAUUAAUUGCCAUAAGAUUUGCCCACCCAGAAGAAAACAGAAACAAACAGGUUGAUGGAAAAAACAGAAAUAUCAGACAAAACACGUGAAUGUGUAUAACCAAAAUGAGAUACCCUAAAACCAAAUUGUUAAAAUCAUGCUUUGCAUGGCAUCUAGUUUAAAGUAAGAGAAGUUAAGGACAAACAAUUUUGAAAGAAGAAAACUUAAUUCAACAAAAAAAUUAUACUUUGCUCUAACACAUUCUAUAAAAACAAAGCAAUAAUGCAAUCUUUAGUACUCUCCAUAUAAAAAAACAACGUGCAGAAAAAAAGUAUUUGUUAGCUUUUUUACUUUUAUACCGACUAUAGCUGGCAAACAGAGGUCAUCCCCUGGGAGUACCCACUUUAAGAGCUCAUCGCUUGUUGGGAUUUUGUCAACCUCAUAGGUUUAUGGUAAUGCUACGCAUUGUAAAGUUCUUGCUCCCUUGUCUUCCAUAACCUUUUUAAAAUAAGAAGCCCGCAACCAGACAAUUACAUGUACACUUUAAUCUCAACCAGACCAUGCAGUAAACAUAUGCAGGAACUUACUUUACAUGUAAUGGAAAAGCACAACAAAACUAUCGACACAAGUUACUCAAAAGUGUUGUGAACCCCACAAAACCAAGGAUAGUGAUCAAGGUGAAAGACUGAUGACAAUGAAAACCAUGAAGGUGUUAGGUUCUCACAAACCUCAUCUUCAAUCUGUCACAUUACUACUUUCGUCCACAAAGCCUUUGUGUGAAGCCAAAACGAUUUCACAAGCUCUUUUCCAAUGAAUAUGAACUUGGACAUCAGGUUGAAAAUAAGCAAGGAGAAGAGAAGAAUUGGUCAUAAGCCAUUAUUUUUCUUCAACAACCAGAAAAAACUGAAAGUAGAACAUCUGGAGGAAACAGAGACAAUUCUUGCACAGCUCUCAUAUGAAAUACGUAGACAAUCAAUCGAUGCAUGUUACAGAGACAGUUUACAACAAUAUGUUUUUUUGGUAAGAACUAAAAGGUGUGAAGGUAUUCCAAAAUUAUAUAGACACGAAGAUAAACAAUGUACUUCUUGCAUAAACAG